UUCCCCUCCCCCCUCCCCUCCGCCGCCGCCUAUGGAGGGGCUGCGACCAGCCGCGAACAGGUCUCGUCGUCGUACCCGCAUCGGAAUAAAUGGAGUCCACAAUUACUUGUCAGACAUUGACUGGGACGUUCAUUUUUCAUGGUUCUUGUGAUCUAGCUGGCCGGCCGGCCCGGCAGGAUUAACGCGCUGGCAGCUGAAAGGAACUUGUACCAGCACCCCGCGUUGCCUAGUCAACACGUUGUACCAUCAGAAGAGUGGUUUUCAGUGGUUCUGCUUCUGCCAACAGCGGCUGAAUGAAGCCUAUCCUCAGGGGCGGAUCUAGAACGGGGCUGCACCCCGGGCUAAGCUGUUGAAUCACGUCCAAAACAGUCUAAUCUUGUCUCCUAAACUUCAUUUUGUUAGGCUAAACACCACAUAUGUUAAAGGGACUCCAUGGUCUCGCCUCGGGCUGCAGUCCGGGCAGCCCGGGCCCUAGAUCCGCCCCUGCCUAUCCUAAUCUUAGGUUAUGGAGUCUGUUUAGCUCAGUUGUGGAUAUUGGUGUAUGUUAAAGCUACCUGAAUUUUAGUCGUCUUCUUCGAUGCAAAUUUGGGUACACGUUUUUACCAAAAUGUAGCUACAUAUAUAGUGUGUGUUUGAUUUUUUUCAUUCUAGCUUUGGUUGGUUGUGGUUCCUCGUC